GUAGGGGGAGGAGGAGACAGGAAAAGUGGUUAAGCUCGGCUUACAAUUGGUCGAACCGUUUU
rnacentral:sRNA from 1 species